CUGUAAAUUAUAAUAUUCACAAAUCCUGGGCAAGUCAGUGCUUUUAUUGGCUCAUUACUUGCCAGACGACAAGUUAAUUUGUUUUGAUGACGAUGAUGAUGCUGAGGAUUGCUGGAGCUGCGACUGCUGAAGAUUACUUUUCAGCAUGAAAAGUUGAAUAAUAUUCAUGCCUGAAUGCUUGCGAAAAUUAGUAAUUACAAUUUGUGGAGUUUCUUGGGCGCAGCCAAACAAAUGGAUGAUUGUUAUUUACGGGUCUGGCCAAGCAAGUAAUUAAAUUUUUCGCCUUGGUUGCGUUCGCUGCGGCAGGGCGUGUGUGUGUGUUGGAGGAGAACCGCACGGGAAAUUGCAACAGCGCCGCUUAAAAGUAUGCAACGAAUCUUCGGUUUGAAGUGGAGUAGUUCCGAGAGAAUCGGAAUCAAAUUCCGUUCGCUCUACAUUUAUAAUUGUUUUUAUUUGAUUUGAGCAUGCGAGAGAUUUUAUUACGAAUCAGAAAUUAGAAAAAUAGCUCAAUUCCAAAUAUUAAGAGGAGAGCAUUUUUUGUAGUGGACAACAAAAAUGGAAGGCAGCAUUUUCAUGAAACCCAGCAGGUAGAUGAGCAUCACACUCGAUGUGGAGAUGCAGAACUGCAUCUUCAGGAAGGUCACGGCGCACUUGCGAUUGCACCAGAUGGGCAGCAGGAUGAGAAAGGCGGAGCAGCACUGGAGAAGGCAGCAGGCACAGCUGACGAUCACAAAGAUUGGUCGCUGUGGAGUUUGCCACUGCGUAGACUGAAACAAUGGGGAUAGGGAGACAAUAAAAAAGAUUUUAAAUAUUUGCAGGUAACUCAAACUAAAAUGGGGC